rnacentral:rRNA from 1 species
AGCGAACGCUGGCGGCAGGCCUAACACAUGCAAGUCGAACGGACCCUUCGGGGUUAGUGGCGGACGGGUGAGUAACACGUGGGAACGUGCCCUUUGGUUCGGAACAACACAGGGAAACUUGUGCUAAUACCGGAUAAGCCCUUCGGGGGAAAGAUUUAUUGCCAAAGGAGCGGCCCGCGUUGGAUUAGGUAGUUGGUGAGGUAAAGGCUCACCAAGCCUGCGAUCCAUAGCUGGUCUGAGAGGAUGAUCAGCCACAUUGGGACUGAGACACGGCCCAAACUCCUACGGGAGGCAGCAGUGGGGAAUCUUGCGCAAUGGGCGGAAGCCUGACGCAGCCAUGCCGCGUGAAUGAUGAAGGUCUUAGGAAUGUAAAAUUCUUUCAGCGGGGACGAUAAUGACGGUACCCGCAGAAGAAGCCCCGGCUAACUUCGUGCCAGCAGCCGCGGUAAUACGAAGGGGGCUAGCGUUGCUCGGAAUUACUGGGCGUAAAGGGAGCGUAGGCGGAUAGUUUAGUCAGAGGUGAAAGCCCAGGGCUCAACCUUGGAAAUGCCUUUGAUACUGGCUAUCUUGAGUAUGGGAGAGG